CAGGGUGUGAGGAGCAUGGUUUCAGGUGAACGCUUUCUAGAGCAUUGGCAAUUGCUCACAGCAAGGGCCUAGGGCUUGAGGGGAGAUUUUGAACAGGAGCUAGAGCCGAGGUAGAGGUGGGCUGGAGGAAACAGCUUGAACCAGGACCCUGUCCCAUAGCAGAGGAUGUUGCAGUCCCUGAAUUGCAUGAAGCAGCUGGGAGUCCAGGGACCUGCGCGGGAGGCCUGUGGAGAAGACCCCCAGGGAGUCCAAGACCUGGUGGACUGAGCAAGGCCUGGAGGCCCUGAAGCAAGGGUGAAUUGGAGCUGAAGCUGCUUGGUGCCAUAAAUGAAUUUCAUGCGAGCAACUCCAAAACCACUGAGAACGGACAACUGGCAACCCAGUUCUCUGGAAGGACCUUUGUCGUGGUGAGGAGUCAUUGAGCCACCCUGCCACCUCUAAGGAGCCCUGGGAAAGAGGGCAACAUUGCAAGAGCCUCCUGCAACCUCGGGUGGCUCUCACUGGUAGCUUGCACAGCACCCUGCGGAGAGGCUAACGCAGGGCAAGAAGCCAAAGAAACAUCCGACAGAAGACGCCUAUCUAGUUACCAAACUACGCCUACGCCACACUACGCCUACUACCACACGCCUAUCUAGUUACCAAACUACUCCACUUGACACGCACAAUCUGAUCUUGGUGGACAGCAUGGUUUCCACGAUCCUCUCUGCUCACCUCGGCAGCUAGCUGAGAACAAUCUCUUUUGCAAUUCAUUACCCUCGUUUUGGGGCAUUUGUUUUUCCAUGUAUGUGACU